UACGGAGGGGGCUAGCGUUGUUCGGAAUUACUGGGCGUAAAGCGCGCGUAGGCGGACCUGCAAGUCGGGGGUGAAAGCCCGAGGCUCAACCUCGGAACUGCCUUCGAUACUGCGGGUCUCGAGUCCGGGAGAGGUGAGUGGAAUUCCUAGUGUAGAGGUGAAAUUCGUAGAUAUUAGGAAGAACACCAGUGGCGAAGGCGGCUCACUGGCCCGGUACUGACGCUGAGGCGCGAAAGCGUGGGGAGCAACAGGG
rnacentral:rRNA from 1 species